AUUUUUUUUCUAGAAAAAGCAGGAAUGCUGACCCUUCCUGCUCAGAAAUUUCAGAUGCUCAUGGACUCUCUUAGCUUAUAAAAGCUGGGUUCAGUGAUGCUCUCUGGUCUGGUGGUGGGGCACACUGAUUUUCUACUUAUUUCAACUAGCACUGUUCCAUAAAAUCAGGUACAUUUAUGUCACUGAGAUCUAGUUUUGCAGGGUGAGGAGAUGUGAAUCCUUCUGGAUUGAUACAGAAGACCCACCUAUAUUUUGGGAUCCUCACGCGAAAACAUAUCCUGCCAGCUAUCAGACUAACUCAAAAUGAAGUUCGUGUUCCUUGCUGAAGCUUCCUAGGACCUGAGCUUCCAGCACACACUGCUCAAAAGCACAGGGAAGAUUGUCCUGUGUCUGCUUGCAUGGCACCAGCUCUGCCUCUCUGAAAAGCCAUGAAGCUCACAAAACUGCAGAGUGGAUGUGGUUUACAGCAAAGAUGCACUCUGCUUUUAUUACUUCCAAGGCUGAACUAGUUUGUUCUUAUAUUUUUCAUGUGCCUUCCCUUCUGUUUGUACCCUAUUGUUGCACCAUGGAACUGUAUGUGAAAGCAGAA